rnacentral:tRNA from 1 species
GAGAGAGACUCGCCAGUAACGGAAACUGCUAAUUUUCGCGACCUUGGUUGGACCCCAAGGCUCACUCGAACU